CCUACGGGAGGCAGCAGUGGGGAAUAUUGGGCAAUGGAGGCAACUCUGACCCAGCAACGCCGCGUGAAUGAUGAAGGUCUUCGGAUUGUAAAGUUCUGUGAUGGGGGAUGACCACAAUGACGGUACCCCAAUAGCAAGCCACGGCUAACUACGUGCCAGCAGCCGCGGUAAUACGUAGGUGGCAAGCGUUAUCCGGAAUGACUGGGCGUAAAGGGUGCGUAGGGGGUUUAGUAAGUUGGCGGUGUAAUUCCGGGGCUCAACCUCGGCGCUACCGCAAAAACUAUUAGACUAGAGUGCAGGGGGGGUAAGUGGAAUUCCUAGUGUAGCGGUGGAAUGCGUAGAUAUUAGGAGGAACAUCAGGGGCGAAGGCGACUUACUGGACUGUAACUGACACUGAGGCACGAAAGCGUGGGGAGCAAACAGGAUUAGAUACCCCAGUAGUC
rnacentral:rRNA from 1 species